rnacentral:rRNA from 1 species
CGUAGGGUCCGAGCGUUGUCCGGAAUUAUUGGGCGUAAAGGGCUCGUAGGCGGUUUGUCGCGUCGGGAGUGAAAACACCGGGCUUAACUCGGUGCUUGCUUUCGAUACGGGCAGACUGGAGGUAUGCAGGGGAGAACGGAAUUCCUGGUGUAGCGGUGAAAUGCGCAGAUAUCAGGAGGAACACCGGUGGCGAAGGCGGUUCUCUGGGCAUUACCUGACGCUGAGGAGCGAAAGUGUGGGGAGCGAACAGGAUU